AACAUGUCUUUUUGAGUAUAAUUUAAAGUCUGAUCUGCUCCAUGAAUUUUAAAUAGCUGCAGUAUCCUGACUGUACAAAGGUAGCAUAAUCAAUAGUUUUUUAAUUAAAAGCUGGAAUGAACGAUUUGAUAAGGUAAAUAUUGUCUCAAUUUUAAUAAUUUUAUAAAUUUUAUUUUAGUUAAAAUACUAAAAUAAUUUUGAAAGACGAGAAGACCCUAUAGAUUUUAAUAGAUUAUUUUAAAUAGAUUUAAAACAAAAAAGUAAAACAAUAAAAUUUAAAUGAAGUAUAUUUGAUUGGGGAAAUUAGUAAAUUUAUUUAACUUUAUCAUUUACACCAUAGAAAAACUUUUCUUUAUUAUUUAUUAUAUUAAUAAAUAAAGACAAUAAUUAUUGAAUAUUAAUUUUGAUCUUAAAUAAAAAUCAGGAGAACAAAAUACCUUAGGGAUAACAGCGUAAUUUUUUUGAAGAGAUCAUAUUGAUAAAAAAGUUUGCGACCUCGAUGUUGAAUUAAGAUAAAAUUUUAAUGAAGGAGUUAAAAAUUUUUGGUCUGUUCGACCAUUAAAAUCUUACGUGAU
rnacentral:rRNA from 1 species